GACAUCUAAUGGCUUGUUGUGUCUGAAUCCAUAUGACAGAAAGUUACAGUCUGUUUACUCUACAGCGCCGAUAAGAGCGGUCCGGCGCACAGACUGUAAAAAUUAGACGGGUCUCAAGUGCGUAUCGAUAAGAUAGAGCCCGAGACGGGACAGGAAAGUGUAUGCGAAAGCAAAUACUCGAAGCUGUAAUUGCUGGCUGGCUGGCUGACUGACAGAUAGACAGACAGGUACGCAAAGAGUCAGCGUUGUUCAAGGUUGUUUGCAGACAAACAGGUGUAGUUUCGACUAGACACCCUUGCACACUGUCUAGUCUGGCGGGGCCGGACGACGGUUAAACAAGACAGCGGAGGGAAAGUGUAAUGCUCAAGUACGCAUACGCAGGCACACCCACGGCCACAUCCACACAGACACACGCACAUCCACAUGCCAUACACCCAUUUAUCCAAAAACAGUUACACGCAUCGGUGCUCACACACGUAAACAGUACAAUAAUAGAAAAGAAGAAGCGCCUGUGUUUCUGUGAGAAAAAGAGAUACGGGUAAGAUGUUUACUCGCACGAAAACCACCCUUAAAUCACUGUGUGGAAACAAUGAUGUAGUGUUUGUGUAGGAUUAUGCCAGUUGCUGCUUUAUAAUGGCUAGUUUGGCUAGCAACACCGCACACAGAUUAAAGACAGCGGUGGAAAAAACUCACAUUUCCGUAGAAGCAAAGGGGAGUUGAGAGACCUUCACUCGGGGUCCUUCCUGACUAAUGAAACUAAUGUUUUCUGUAACAGCAAAACCACACGCUGGCUUAUGGGUAAUUCUCACAUUGCUCAGAUACGCCGUGUAACCCAUCAGGUAUGUAGCUGUUUGGUGUGACUGAACCAAUGCAUCUCUGUGGCGAGCAAAUGUAGUAAUUUAGUCAUUUUCCCAUUCAUUUUCGUUUACAGGGGCACACGAGGCUAUUUUUGUUUUUAACGAGAAGAGAAGAUAGCGCCACUCCUGUGCUUUUUUAAAACGGCACAUCCAACCCCUGUGUUAAUUAAACGCUUAGCAGUAACGGUUCGCUCUUGAAUGUUUCGCAAAUCGCUCCGUUUGGCGCGAGGAAAUUGGCGGGAUUCUUUACACGCCGGGUUUCCUUCCAUAACCUUCAUCGUUUGUCUUGCCGCCAAUGCGAAAACGUGUUUACGUCCUCGAUUCAAACUAUAAAAGGUGCAACCGGUGUGAAAUGUUACUUGAUUUUGAGGUUAAUUUUAUCUUUAGAGCGCGUGCAUGGUUGAGCAGCGCGCCCGCGUGGCGGCGUUUAGUAAUCGCCUCAGAUAAAAACAAGUCGAAUAAAACAUGGCGACUUGAUAUUUCUUAAUACAGGUGUCGGUGAAAUUUAAUCUAAUUCACAGUAAGAGUGCUUUCAGACCACAAGUGUUGGUUAAGAAGUCGUCUCUAGCACUUAAUCUACUCAUCUCUAAAAGCUUUUAGUCAUUUGAAAACACUCACUUUGACUCAUUCAGUAGUAGGUGUGUUUAUUCUGUUCUGGUCAUGGUAAGUUGUUCUCCUGUGGUAACGGCCUUUUAGAUGCAGAUAUGGGCUAGCGAUAAUGUGAUAAAGAUGGCGGGGUACUGCGUCGACCAACGGUCGCUGGAUAUUCGAAGAUGUUUUUCUUAACAAACAAAAAACAGACAAACAAACGAACCCAACAGAAGUCGUUUCCGCUGAUGGUUGCGUCUCUUCGUGAGGUUAUUUGGACAGUCAUCGCCGCAGAAGAGAUUGAAUGAAGUCUCUUGGCGGGUCCCGGAUUCGGUGAGUUCCAAGAAGUGUGCCUGUAAACCUCAUCUCAUUACCCCCCUCGUCUGAUACACACGCACAGACACAAAAACACACACAUGGUGUGCACUCUGCGGCUUGUGGCCAGCUGAUAAAUGCACUGCAGCCUAUAUAGAACAGGGGAGAGUUGCACACACCUUGCACAUAUUGACAUGAGAAACACGUUCCUAAGAACACCCAGUUUUUGUUCUCACAAGUUCUAAGAAUUGCCAAGCCGGCUGCACACACACACACACACACACACACACACAUACACACUCUAAUAAAGAACAUUUGACCACAGAAACCAAAUUUCCUGCUGUGCAUAUUCACCUUGAAAUGCUUGUACCGCUAGGCCUGCUUCUUAUUUUGUGUUUUUGGGAACAUCUCAUUUUACAAAUUUCUACUGUCUUUAAAAUAAAGGUCUCCUCAAAGAACCAACAAGACGAUUUUAUUCCUUAGUGCGAGGAACAUGUUUAAUAUGAUGCUUCAACAUUAAAGUGCAAUGAAAAGGUUGAAUGGAUGUUAAAAGGUCAAUACCAUAACCUUUAGUUUAAAGCGCGCGUGUGUGUGUGUGUGUGUGUGUGUAUGUGUUUUCAUGAAUGCAUGCGUUUGUGGUGUGUGCAUGUGUCCCGGUCAGCAUCUCUUUUCUUCCGCUCUCUAAAUCCUCCUCUGUGUUUUCCUCUCUCCAAACACAAUCGCCCUGCUGGGUCACACGCACGCAUAAAAAGGUUUUUACUCUGCGGAUGCCUGAUAAAUGUGUUCAGGACAGAGAGCGCAGGGCGAAAAGAACAAUUUGGUCACUGGCUCCAUCUUGAGGCGUCCAAAAAAAAAGUAGCAUGGCGUCCAAAAUCAGUUUAAAGGAAUCAGAGUGAGUUUAUUCGUUAAAUGUUUAUUUUAAUUCAGACACGAAAAAAGAGCGUAUCUCUCUUUCUUUUCUCCAGCUCUCAGAGGCCGAACUCGGUUGUGAGCAGACAUCUCAAGGACGAACAUUUUGUAACAAAUGCAUGGCAUAGUAUGACCGCGGCGUUUCAUCAGAUACCAGACAACGAAGCGAGGGAUUCAAGUCUUCCUCAGUCGUUUCUCGGCCAACAGAGAAGGUCUGCUACACUCAGGAGGAUCCGUCUUUGAAACCAAGCUAAAACUUUGUUCCAUAGCAUGAGUCUGAAAGACGCAAAGUGCCUGGCUCCACCUGCUGGACAGUGAAUGCGGGUACAUGCACAUUUAUGCUGAAAGGGGAGUCAUUAUUAAACAGUGAAUAAAUAGGCAGACACGUAAAUGUGAGAAAAUACUGUAAGUUUUUCCAUGCAUUCUGAUAUUACUUAAAAAAAAAAAACAUAAUUCAUCAUAUUUCAGUUUUUCAAACACGUGUGAGAUUAAUUUGGUACAGUAGGUUAUAACCUGUUUUAUUCUGCGUUGAUAAUUAAAUUUGUAUUUAUUUUUGUAUUUUAUUUUAUUUUUUUUUAGCAAUAGCCAAAUAUCACAAGCUGGAAAAUGGAUGUGUUAUUUGGGUUGUUCAGUUAUAGUGGAACAUAUUGCAGACAUUUCUUUUUUUAUUUGCAUCACCGCCAGAUCUUUGAUAACAGAUGCAUUUGUGAUAAGAAUUAUGUGCCCUAUAGUCAUAUUUAGCUAUGAGGUGUUAUAAAUAAUUUUCCAAAAUAAAGAAGGCCCUUUGUUGCGUA